rnacentral:rRNA from 1 species
GAUGAACGCUGGCGGCGUGCCUAACACAUGCAAGUCGAGCGAGAUGUAUAUGGACGAAACUUCGGUCUAGGAAAUAUAUUGACAGCGGCGGACGGGUGAGUAACGCGUAGGCAACCUGCCCUUAACACAGGGAUAGCCUCGGGAAACCGGGAAUUAAAACCUGAUAAUGCCAAAUAGUCACAUGGCUGUUUGGCCAAAGAUUUAUCGGUUAAGGAUCGGCCUGCGUCUGAUUAGUUUGGUGGUGGGGUAACGGCCUACCAAGACUACGAUCAGUAGCCGACCUGCGAGGGUGAUCGGCCACAUUGGAACUGAGACACGGUCCAAACUCCUACGGGAGGCAGCAGUGGGGAAUAUUGCACAAUGGGCGAAAGCCUGAUGCAGCAACGCCGCGUGAGCGAUGAAGGCCUUUGGGUCGUAAAGCUCUGUCCUUGGGGAAGAAACAAAUGACGGUACCCAAGGAGGAAGCCCCGGCUAACUACGUGCCAGCCGCCGCCGUAACAC